CCCUUAGAUGUUCUGGGCCGCACGCGCGCUACACUGAUGCAUUCAACGAGUGUACCUUGGCCGAGAGGCCUGGGCAAUCUUUUGAACGUGCAUCGUGAUAGGGAUAGAUUAUUGCAAUUAUUAAUCUUGAACGAGGAAUUCCUAGUAAACGCAGUUCAUCAAACUGCAUUGAUUACGUCCCUGCCCUUUGUACACACCGCCCGUCGCACCUGCCGAUUGGAUGGUCCGGUGAAGCCUCGGGAUUGUGGCGGUUGCCUUUAUUGGUGGCCGCCGCGAGAACUUGUCUAAACCUUAUCAUCUAGAGGAAGGUGAAGUCGUAACA
rnacentral:rRNA from 1 species